CCAUGUACUGUGACGGCACUCUCAUUGCGGAUAACUCCGAUCUGAUACACAGCAGCAACGACUUUGAGGGUGACAUACGAGGACCACAUCUGACACCUUUAUUGAGUCCUCUUUUCAGCGCACAACAGGAAUUCAGCAGGUUUAAAAACCCUCCAAUAGACACUUCUCCAUUCUUCACAGAGUCUUCAUUUUUUCCAGUUGCUACUAAGGCUACAAUCCAUCUGGAUAUCCAACUUGGUGAGAUCCACCUAUUUAUUAUCUAAAGUGCACCAUUCUCUGGACUAUUGUACAUCAGGACAUU
rnacentral:lncRNA from 1 species